UCGAUUCAGUGUAAAAAUAUAUACUAGUUUAUAACGAUAGUUUUAGUCAAUGGCUACAUUGUAGCGAUUUAUAAGCUUUGAAAGUCAAACGGGCUUAUAUAUGAUCAAAUUACGCAAUAUUACUAACAAAUUAUAAACAUAGACAUACCUUUCGCCGAACAUAACUUCGGCCCCUUGAGACAUAUGCUCAUUCUUGUAUUCUUGAUGAAUGAAGCAGUUAAAAAUAACACGUAUAGUGUUAUUUUCAAGCUUCUAUCUUUAAAACGUGAGUAUUCUUGCCGAAUUUUGCAUUUCUGCCCGAAUUUGCGUUAAUCCCAAACCGGAAAUACGACGAAAAACCGUCAAAACAAUGCGUAGUUUGUAUCGCGUGACUCUGGAAAUGCCAGAAAUGGAUUCUACAGGUCAAAGUGCACCCAUACGUGUGAGUUUGACGUCAUCCCGGCUAAAGAGAGCUCCUUAUCACAGAAUAGGAAGUUAUACCAGAAGCGUAACUCAAGCAAAUAUUUGUCCGCGUUUUUACAAGCGAUUCGUCAUCAAUCACGCCAUCCUGGCUAGUACAACCGGCACUUUGUACCUACCAAAUCCUGAUAAAAACUUCCGGCUGUACUAGCCAGGAUGGCGUCAAUGGUGGCAUUUAUUUAAAAGGGGGGUAAAUACUCGCCGAGAUAUUUAUAUUAGAAAAAUUGUAUCGAAAUGUAAUACAAAACCGGUUGUCGAGAAAGAGUUAAAACGUUUUUAAUUAAAAUAUUGAAGUCUCAAAACUUUGUAUAGCAAUAUCAAACUGCAGAAGUAAGUCAAUGUAUCAACAGGAUGGACAAGAAAAAAGUCUUGUGUUAUUCCGCCAUGAUUAAUUUGCGAUACGCACGCUGGUGUAAACAUGCGUACUAAAGUACGGCUAAAUGGCGAAACAAGUGAUAAAUAUUCGACUUUUUAGCCUCGAGCAAAUUCCCCACCCCGGGGCUAACCUGCAGAAAGCAAAUGCCCGACUCUGGGAACAAGUACAGUUGAGAAUGCCCGACAAACGCCCGGGGGGGUGUUGGGCACCCAUGGAAUUGAUUGAGACAUAAGGGUGUUAUUAGGAGAUUAUACCACCAGAUUGCAAGUAUCUUAGCAGUUGUUUCCUUAGCCUGAGUGUCAGAUGCUCAAGACUGUUUGCCUGGUUUGGCUAUAUAUUUUGAACACUGACCCCUUUAAAAUCACAGCUAAAAAUAUGACCAUUACUUAUGCAAACAAACUGUGCAUUCAAAUCAAACACUAAAUAAUGGUAGCGAUAUCAAACAUUCUAGACUUUUAUCCUGGCCAAAACAUUUAAAACAUGUUUUGCAACAAGCGAUUCUCUAACCAAAGACCAAGUUGGAAUUCAUAGGUAUUACGCUGGGUAUCUCCAGCGUAAAAUGUUGUUGAUAUUUUAUGCUGUGCAGAGCAAAUGAAUGACUACCUGAUCAUCGGCGGGACGUAAAACGCCAUAAAUUAUGACUUUGUUUACGUUUUGAACUGCUAUAUUUGGAAAAUAAUAUACUAACUGAAUAUCUAACACUUUUCUGGUUUGCUUGUAAAUGAACAUAAACUGCACGUUUCAAUUCAAAAAAAGUUUGAAAGAUGCAAAAUUUGGGCAAUGUUUAUAUGUGGGGGUCCCCUUUUGUUAUGAGCAGAACUGAUGUGCAGAACGGAGUGGACAUUGCCUUUAACCUAACUCGUACUUUCAGAGUGGAUUGGUAUAAUUGUAAAAUUUAGCCAACAAACCUGGGGAAGACAGAUCUGCAUAAUCAAAAACAUUCAGAUUAGCCAGAUUUCUGCUACAGAUUAUAAGCUUUUUGUCAUAAUUUAUUAUGGCUUAUAAUUGUAACUUGUCUUAUAUUGUAACUUAGACUAAAUUAAACAAAUUGUUACAUGUACCUGUUUUCGUACAUUAAUAAUUUUCAAGCAACAUGUGCAGUCUCCCUAAUUACCCCCACCUUUGCGGCUGUAUGUGUUUGUCAGCAUGAUAACUUGAAAAAUAUCAAACACAUUAGAAAAAUAACACACGUAACAUUUUCAAAUUAUAUUCAUAACAACUUUAUAAUAAUAUGUUAUAGUGUAAAUCUAUAUAUCAUUAAAUUAAUAACAAAUAAUACACAUUGGUAGCUCUUGAUAACAAUGUUGAUGAACAUAUUAAAAACAUUUCUACAAAUAAUAUAAUAUUAACCCAUUAGAGCGCAAGACUCCCUUUGAGGAAUGACAAGUAAAAUUGUCUGGCGUAAAAACAGAGUGAAAUUACUGAAAUACUGAAGUAGGGGCAUUGAAAAUUACAGGUGUUAAAGGCACAUUGGCAUUUUGGUUAACCAUUAGAUAUACAAAAGUAAUAGGGUGCAUUGGGCAUAUUGCAGCUUAAUGGGUUAAUGUAAAUAAUCAAAAAGGCCAAUAUUUUUUAUAAUUCAAAUCACAACAGUUGGCUUUACAUUCAUGUUCAAAUUUAAGUGUAACAUUUUAUAAAAAUAGUCAAAGAUAUCCAGUGUAUAUUGUCUUGUUUGGCAAGACGUCUCACUUAUAAAUGAACCCAAAAAUGGCAAAAACAGAAAUCCAGUUUAUAAGCCUAUGGUACUAUUGCAAUGUAAUUAAAAUAAAUUAAAUAUGAUGCAUUCAUUCCAAAAAUUUUUCAAGUUACAUCUAAACAAGUCACUUGAUUUUCAGUUCUACACUGAUGAUGCAUUUUAAUACAUCUGGCGCCGGUUGUUCAAAGGUGGUUUAGCGCUAAACCUGUGUUAAAAUUUAACCCGCUGUUUUGGUUUGGGUACA
rnacentral:lncRNA from 1 species